rnacentral:rRNA from 1 species
GAUGAACGCUAGCUACAGGCUUAACACAUGCAAGUCGAGGGGCAUCGAGAAGAAAGCUUGCUUUCUUUGGCGGCGACCGGCGCACGGGUGCGUAACAGGUGUGCAAUCUGUCCAUAGUCGGGGGAUAGCCCAGCGAAAGCUGAAUUAAUACUCCAUGUGAAUCGAAGCCGCAUGACUUUGAUUUGAAACGCAAGGACUAUGGGUGAGCACGCUUCUGAUUAGGUAGUUGGUGGGGUAACGGCCCACCAAGCCGACGAUCAGUAGGGGUUCUGAGAGGAAGGUCCCCCACAUUGGAACUGAGACACGGUCCAAACUCC